rnacentral:rRNA from 1 species
UUGGACCUGAUAUCAGACAAGAUUACCCGCUGAAUUUAAGCAUAUAAUUAAGCGGAGGAAAAGAAACUAACAAGGAUUCCCCUAGUAACGGCGAGUGAAGCGGGAAGAGCUCAAGCUUAAAAUCUCUAUACUAGUUUAGUAUGGCGAAUUGUAGUCUAUUGAGGCUGUUGUCAGCACGGCUAUCUGGGAUAAGUCCCUUGGAACAGGGCAGCAUGGAGGGUGAUACUCCCGUCUUUGCUCAGAUGUGCUUGUGCGUACGACACGCUUUCUUUGAGUCGAGUUGCUUGGGAAUGCAGCUCAAAGUAGGUGGUAAAUUCCAUCUAAAGCUAAAUAUGGGUGCGAGACCGAUAGCGAACAAGUACCGUGAGGGAAAGAUGAAAAGAACUUUGAAAAGAGAGUUAAAGAGUACCUGAAACUGUUGAAAGGGAAUCGAAUCGUUUCCAGUGUCUUUAUCCAGUGCAUAUUUCGCUGGUGGAUGCUUGUAUGUAGUGUGCUUGGCUAGUAGUUUAUUCUGCAGCUAGCUUUCUACGUUGCGAGUAUUUGUCGGUGCCCUGUGCAUUGGUGUGACGUCAAAGUCAGUUUGUAAGUUGCGGGAGAUGGCGGUCAAGGAGGUAGUUUAGACAUGUAUUUGUUUAAAUGUUAUAUCUUGGCAUGCUAGUUGUCGUGGCUGAGACUGAGGUGCCUACAACAUGCCUUGUGAGUCUGAUGGUUCCUCGUGUGUAUGAUUAUUGAGAUAGCUUGCUAUGUCUAUGAUUUAUAUGUGCGAUUGGUGCUAUCAGUUACUUAUAGCUGUUCGGGACUUUGGCGAAAUGGAGCGAUCCGUCCCGUCUUGAAACACGGACCAAGGAGUCUAACAUGUGUGCAAGUAUUAGGGUGUGGAAACCCAAAUGCGCAAUGAAAGUAAAUGGUAGCUCAGUUACCUUUGGUAGGAAAGUCACCAGUAAUGGGGGCUGGCACUAUCGACCGAUCAUGAACCUACGUGGUGAAAGAUUUGAGUAUGAGCACAUAUGUUGGUACCCGAAAGAUGGUGAACUAUGCCUGAAUAGGGUGAAGCCAGGGGAAACUCUGGUGGAAGCUCGUAGCGAUUCUGACGUGCAAAUCGAUCGUUUAAUUUGGGUAUAGGGGCGAAAGACUAAUCGAACCAUCUAGUAGCUGGUUCCCUCCGAAAUUUCCCUCAGGAUAGCAGCAACUUGUUAAGAUAGUUUUAUGAGGUAAAGCGAAUGAUUAGAGGAUUCGGGGAAGAAACUUCCUCGACCUAUUCUCAAACUUUAAAUGGGUAAGACCUGUGGGUUUCUUAAUUGAACCCAUAGACUUGAAUAUCCAAGUUGUUAGUGGGCCAUACGGGGUAAGCUCGUCUGGCGAUGCGGGAUGAACCGAACGCAAAGUUAAAGUGCCAAAGUGCCCGCUCACCUAGAUACCAUAAAAGGUGUUGGUUCAUUUAGACAGCAGGACGGUGGCCAUGGAAGUCGGAAUCCGCUAA